GGCAGGCUUAACACAUGCAAGUCGAGCGGUAACAUUUCUAGCUUGCUAGAAGAUGACGAGCGGCGGACGGGUGAGUAAUACUUAGGAAUCUACCUAGUAGUGGGGGAUAGCUCGGGGAAACUCGAAUUAAUACCGCAUACGACCUACGGGAGAAAGGGGGCAGUUUACUGCUCUCGCUAUUAGAUGAGCCUAAGUCGGAUUAGCUAGAUGGUGGGGUAAAGGCCUACCAUGGCGACGAUCUGUAGCUGGUCUGAGAGGAUGAUCAGCCACACCGGGACUGAGACACGGCCCGGACUCCUACGGGAGGCAGCAGUGGGGAAUAUUGGACAAUGGGGGAAACCCUGAUCCAGCCAUGCCGCGUGUGUGAAGAAGGCCUUUUGGUUGUAAAGCACUUUAAGCAGUGAAGAAGACUCCGUGGUUAAUACCCACGGACGAUGACAUUAGCUGCAGAAUAAGCACCGGCUAACUCUGUGCCAGCAGCCGCGGUAAUACAGAGGGUGCAAGCGUUAAUCGGAAUUACUGGGCGUAAAGGGAGCGUAGGUGGCUCGAUAAGUCAGAUGUGAAAUCCCCGGGCUCAACCUGGGAACUGCAUCUGAAACUGUUGAGCUAGAGUAUGUGAGAGGAAGGUAGAAUUCCAGGUGUAGCGGUGAAAUGCGUAGAGAUCUGGAGGAAUACCGAUGGCGAAGGCAGCCUUCUGGCAUAAUACUGACACUGAGGCUCGAAAGCGUGGGUAGCAAACAGGAUUAGAUACCCUGGUAGUCCACGCCGUAAACGAUGUCUACUAGUCGUUGGGUCCCUUGAGGACUUAGUGACGCAGCUAACGCAAUAAGUAGACCG
rnacentral:rRNA from 1 species